GAGUUUGAUCAUGGCUCAGCCUGAACGCUGGCGGCGUGGCUAAGACAUGCAAGUCGCACGGACGUAGCAAUACGUUAGUGGCGAACGGGUGAGUAAUGAAUCGCUAAUGUACCCCGGACUCUGGGAUAGCCAGUCGAAAGACUGGGUAAUACCAGAUGAUAUAACCGCUCCGCAUGGAGUGGUUCUCAAAGGUCCGCCGGUCUGAGAGCAGGCGAUUUCGUAUCAGCUAGUUGGUGAGGUAACGGCUCACCAAGGCGACGACGCGUAGCCGGACUGAGAGGUUGGCCGGCCACAUUGGGACUGAGACACUGCCCAGACUCCUACGGGGGGCUGCAGUAACGAAUCUUCCGCAAUGUACGAAAGUAUGACGGAGCGACGCCGCGUGUAGGACGAAGCCCUUCGGGGUGUAAACUACUGUCAGGGGUUAGAAAGUUCUGAUCGACCCCAGAGGAAGGCACGGCUAACUCUGUGCCAGCAGCCGCGGUAAUACG
rnacentral:rRNA from 1 species